AGCCAUGCAUGUCUAAGUUCAUACUUUAACAAAGUGAAACCGCGAAUGGCUCAUUAUAUCAGCUAUAAUUCACUAGAGAAGUACUCCCUUACUUGGAUAACUGUAGUAAUUCUAGAGCUAAUACAUGCAACGGGCCUCCUAGCCGGCUUCGGUUGGUGAAGGAGGCGCUUUUACUACAAACGAAAUCAACCAUUACGUGUGGAAUCCGAGUAACUGGAAUAGAUCGAGGCUUCGGCCACGACGCAUCUUUCAAGUGUCUGCCCUAUCAAGUUUCGUAGGUAGUGUAUUGGACUACCUAGCUAGUUACGGGUAACGGGGGAUCAGGGUUCGAUCCCGGAGAAGUGGCCUGAGAAACGGCCAUUACAUCUAAGGAAGGCAGCAGGCGCGCAAAUUACCCACUCCUGGUACGGGGAGGUAGUGACAAGAAAUAACGAUACGAGACUCUUUCGAGGCUUCGUGAUCGCAAUGAGAACAAUUUAAAACCUUUAACGAGGAUCUAUUGGAGGGCAAGUCUGGUGCCAGCAGCCGCGGUAAUUCCAGCUCCAAUAGCGUAUAUUAAUUUUGCUGCAGUUGAAAAGCUCGUAGUUGGAUCUUAGGCCUUGUCGACUGGUGGUUGCCUACCGGCGAUCGUACCACGUACGUGCAAGCGCCUCUCCGUCGAGCACUAUCGGAUAGCCUUAACCGGCCGUCUGAAGCGCCUGACGAGUUUACUUUGAAAAAAUUAGAGUGUUCAAAGCAGGCUUACUCCAAAGCCCGAAUAAAUCUGCAUGGAAUAAUGGAAGAAGACCUCUGUUCUUUCUUUCGUUGGUUUCCGGAACCGAGGUAAUGAUUAAAAGGGACAGCCGGGGGCAUUAGUACUGCUACGCGAGAGGUGAAAUUCUUGGACCGUAGCAUGACUAACUACAGCGAAAGCAUUUGCCAAGAAUGUUUUCAUUAAUCAAGAACGAAAGUCAGAGGUUCGAAGACGAUCAGAUACCGUCGUAGUUCUGACCAUAAACGAUGCCAACUAGGCGUGCGACGAAGCGUUUUCAAAUACACGUUUGAAGCAUGUACCAGCUCGUCGUGCCCCUCACGGGAAACCUUCAAGUGUUAGGGUUCUGGGGGAAGUAUGGUUGCAAAGCUGAAACUUAAAGGAAUUGACGGAAGGGCACCACCAGGAGUGGAGCCUGCGGCUUAAUUUGACUCAACGCGGGGAAACCUACCUGGUCCGGACACUGCAAGGAUUGACAGAUUUAAAGCUCUUUCUUGAUUCAGUGGGUGGUGGUGCAUGGCCGUUCUUAGUUCGUGGAGCGAUCUGUCUGGUUAAUUCCGAUAACGAACGAGACUCUAGCCUCUAACUAGACGUUGUCCUCACCCGGUGGGGGCAACCUUCUUAGAGGGACAGGUGGCAUUGAGCCGCAUGAAACUUAGAGCAAUAACAGGUCUGUGAUGCCCUUAGAUGUCCAGGGCCGCACGCGCGCUACAAUGAUGAAGACAAUGUGAGGCGGCUCCGAGAGGAGAACGCGAAUCAUGUGAACCUUCAUCGUGCCAGGGAUUGGGGCUUGUAACUAUUCCCCAUGAACACGGAAUUCCCUGUAAGCGCCAGUCAUCACCUGGCGUUGAAUACGUCCCUGCCCUUUGUACACACCGCCCGUCGCUACUACCGAUCAGGUGUUUUAGUGAAAUCUUCGGAGCGACCAGAUCGGCGCCGGGGUCACUCGGUAAGCCAACUUGGGCGUGAAGUAGAUUGAACUUGAACAUCUAGAGGAAGUAAAAGUCGUAACAAGGUAACCGUAGGUGAACCUGCGGAAGGAUCAA
rnacentral:rRNA from 1 species